UUGUAAUCAUCUGUGUCCCAACUUUCUACUAUGUGUAUGCAUUAUGUCUAUAAUUAUAAAAGGUAUUAAUAUAUACCUUAAUACUGUGUCCUUGAUCUUGCCUCACUGUGUGUUGGGCGUCUUUCCAGAGAAACUUUCAACUCAGCGUGGUAAAACAUGAGCUCCUUGUUUUGUCUUUCCAUCUCAGCCCAGUUUCUUUCCUGGCCUUUGCGAUGGAUAUGGGAUAGGAUCACACAGAAUUGCUCUAACUUCAGAAAUUAUCUUUUAGUCCUUCCUUCAACAUCCAAACUGUGAUUUCCAGCUCUACUGUCUUCGCCUCUCUCUCUGUUCUGUUGGAAAACUAAUGCAGCUUCUAAAUUGUUCCUUUGCCCACCUUUGUCAGCUCAGAAUUGCACUUGAUGGAAUUAAGCAGAUAAGGAAGACUUUAUUCAAGACUGUUGUUAUAGAGGUCAGCUUCACUGCCAUAGGAGAGAAGGGCUGACCUCAAUGCCACUGAAACAAAAGACAAGGAGUUUUUAAGCAGUGGGGUGAGCUAGUAGAAAAGUACUGUGGGACUCAAGGGGGAAGGUAGGUCAGUAUGAUUAGCUCAUCUGUGUCUGCUAAUUGGUGUUUAUCAAAGUUAGGCUUCCACCCUCCCACAGAGACAGAGAUGACUGUAAUCAUCUCUCUUGAUGAUUCUAUUUCAAAAGGCUGGCUCUUCAGUCCUUGAGAAAGACUCAGGAUUCUUGGGCUGUAAUUGGCUAGGAGAAGAGUUGCAUUUCAAAAGGACAGAGAAAGAAUUUAUAGUUUCCUAAAGUAAGUAAUGAAAAAGUAAAGUAAGUCAUGCUUUGAGGAAAGGGAGCCUACAGUCAGGAGGAAGCCUGUCUAAAGUUUAGCGAGAGCAACACUAAGGCCAUCUUGCUCACCCUCACUCCAAUUUAAAUGCCAUAAUUUAAAUUUGAUUCUGACAUUCUACCCCUGUGUUCUAAAACGUUCCAUGGCUCAAUACUGCGUGAUCUGUAAACUCAGGCAUGUAUGGAAGAGUCUCCAUGUCCUCGCCCCAGCCUCUCCUGAGUCUCAUUCCCUCCACACUGGAGGUGAAGUCACCAUGAGCAUUCUGAAAAUGGUCUCAGGAAACUGAGAUUGAGGCAGGUGAAUUUCAAAGCAUCACAGGAUAUGAGUGACUAACUGGGGGUGGGUGAUUUGAGUCAUGGGUUGGAUGAGGAUGGAGCAGGAGAACCAAGACCAAGUAACGUCCAAAGUCAUGAGACUCCCAGCCAGGUGCGUUUCUGGGACGAUGGGCAUUUCCUCACCGGUGGUGCUCAGAGAGUGACCUGCUCAGACUCCUCAGCUGGGGCCCAGCUGCCCUUCAAGGGCUUUCACCUGAGGGUCAGUUUAGCAAAAUUUGGCGACUUUUCCUCAUGUGGAAACCUUCUGUUCUCUAUCAAGGUCAAUGGGCACAGUGGGGCAAUCGUGUCUCAUGCCCAUCCUCUGAAGGUCAGCAAGGUGGGCACUGUCCUCUUAAUGUCUCCUGAAUGACAAGGGCAAUCUAAGAUUUUCUACCUUCCUGCUCCACUGAACACGCAGAACUCAAUUGAAAGGCCACAACACAUUUAAGUGUCUGAAAUUAAAUCUGAAGUCGAAGCAGCAGCAUCUUAUUACUUUUAAUCAGUGCAGUGCAUGAAAGCCCCUUUGGAGAAAUCAUUAUUUUACCUCUCUGCAUGGAAGGCCGAACUGCUUCCCUGCUUCCUCUGGUCCCUGAGAAAUGACAGGGACUCUUUACUCUGUGCGUCCAUCAGAUUUGGGGCUGCUUUCAGCUUCUGCUGUGUCCAGGGCUUGGGUCAGAUUUCAUUCUUAGAGCUGCUUAUUUUGAGUCCCUCUUUCUCUGCCUCUCAGCUAUACUUUUCUUAAUAAAGGGACAAGAGGCUGAGGGAUUAGUAACUAUAGUUACCAUGUAUUAAGCACUUUCUUUAUCAGUUAAGGUGUUUAGUAGCAAACAAUCAAAACUGGUUUGAGCAGAAGGUAAUUGAUGAAAGGAUAUUGGGUUGCACACAGAAUCUCCAGCCAAGCUAAGGAGCAGACCUGGGAGCUGUACUGCUGAAACAAUGCUCAGAAUCUCACCGAAGAACUGGAGGCAAUGUUGACACGUGAGCUGCCCGCCCAGGCACAGCACCGCAGGCUGCACCGCCGAUGCUGAACGCUGGAGGCCACGUCUGAUCUUCCCCGCAACGACCAUGAAAGGCAACUGCUACUCUUUUCAUUUUGUAGAUGAGGUCAUGGAAGUUCAGAGAUGGUAGAAGUCCAGUUGUUACUCUCUGUGAGGAGGUGUCUGACUCCAAGUUUGGAUGUUUAGCUGCUGACAGCUUUUAAGCUCCCUCCUGCUUCGUUUCCUUCUGCCCCACAUCUGGACCAGCUGGUGAAAGAGCCUGAGUGCUCCCUCCUUUACUGUUGGUGGGAGAAUCUACCCACACAGGUCCCUGCCUGCAUGUGGGAACCCUCACCCCGGGCCUACUUCCCAAUCACAGUGAAAGCCAGGCCAGUCUCUUUUGGUUGCUCUCUGAAGUCACCCUGCUCUCCCCAUGGAUACAAGCAUGUAAAUAGCAAACUUUUCCACAGCCUC